GGGUCGUUAGCUCAAUGGUAGAGCAGUUGACUCUUAAUCAAUUGAUUGUAGGUUCGAGUCCUACACGACCCA
rfam:Blochmannia floridanus complete genome